rnacentral:rRNA from 1 species
AGGAUGAACGCUGGCGGCGUGCUUAACACAUGCAAGUCGAACGAUGAAGCCGGAGCUUGCUCUGGUGGAUUAGUGGCGAACGGGUGAGUAACACGUGAGUAACCUGCCCUUGACUCUGGGAUAAGCGUUGGAAACGACGUCUAAUACCGGAUACGACGCGCGAAGGCAUCUUCUGCGCGUGGAAAGAAUUUCGGUCAAGGAUGGACUCGCGGCCUAUCAGCUAGUUGGUGAGGUAACGGCCCACCAAGGCGACGACGGGUAGCCGGCCUGAGAGGGUGACCGGCCACACUGGGACUGAGACACGGCCCAGACUCCUACGGAGGCAGCAGUGGGGAAUAUUGCACAAUGGGCGCAAGCCUGAUGCAGCAACGCGCGUGAGGGACGACGGCCUUCGGUUGUAAACCGUCUUUAGUAGGAAGAAGCGAAAGUGACGGUACUGACAGAAAAGCACGGCUAACACGUGCCAGCCAGACCGCGGUAACUGAGCGGCGUGACG